GGCUAGCGCUGCUGCUUCGCCGAGAUGGCCCGACGAUGCAGUGAGACUCAGCUGGGGAUGAGGCUGAGACUGCGUGGAGACCGGAUCCCCAGUAAAGGGACAUGGAGCUGCUGGGAGUGUAUGGUGAGCAGAGAAAGGAACGAAGAAAGUGAAGCACCAAGAUGUCGAGACGUACGGUUGCCAACGGGCUUCCCCUAUAGCGACCACGACCAAGUUCGGCCGACAUUUCUGAGCUUCUUUUCCUAAAAUUUUUCUGGAGCCUCUUCUGAGCUGCAAAUGCAGAAUAUAUGCCUCGCACCACCACAGCUAUGAAUACCAGCCGACAAAUAAAUCAGGAGAGUAUGGAAGCU